AGAUUUCUUAUUUGGAUACUUAAGUGACCAGACUGGAGGUAAGGUCCCUGGUCGAGCAUUGCUCUCGGGGCGCCAGUCUUAUUGGAUUAAGAGAGCCGAAUGACUACUAGAUUUUGGGGUUUAGGGUUCUACCGAGCCACUCGUCCCGUAAAAGUAAAUAUAUAUUUUUAUUUAUUUAUUUAUUAUGGUAUUUGAUUAUAAUGUGAUUUGUAUUUAUGUGCAUGGUUGAUAUUUUGAUUCGAAUGAUUAAUAUUUUAUGUGAAGGAAAUAGUAGGGUAUGAUUAUAGUAUGAUUUGAAUAAUCUAUGUUUUCUGAGAAGAAGCAAUAGUCCCUAGAUUAUUUGAUUUUAACUCACUCUCGAGACUGACAGUCUCCAUUUAUGUUUUUUUCAGAUUCGUGACUGUUAGUUCUCCCGCGACUCUUAUUCAGUAACCCGACUCCUUCAUCAUCGGGUGAUGUAUUUGAUUUGGUAUGUAAAUUGGUAAAUCUUAGAUUCUCCGCAGUAGUAAUAGUAAAUGUAUCAGUUGUAAAUUUUCUGAGCUUCGGGUCUCGCCUAGUUUUUCUGGUAGACCGAAGUAAUUUUGUAAAGUGUAACUAUUAAGAUAAUUUGUGGUUUUAAUAAUAUUAAUUUGAGAUGAGAUUUGUUUAAAUCAGUGAGUAUCAGGCUUACUACGGGUUUCGGUGGCCUUAAGCCUACCCAUUCCCUAGUGCCGGUCACGGGCCCACGGGUGGGGUCGUGACAGGAAACUUUAAAAACUCAUAAAUUUGUUUCUUUUGAACUUUGGAUAUUUCUCAAUCAUUAAUAUUCUUUGAAAAAUCUUCAAUAGUGAUUUCCUCACUAUUUACUAAACCUUUAUACCUUGAAGACUCAGAAAUAGAGGAUUUUGAUAAAGAAGAAGAUCUAUAGAAAAAAGGUUCUAAAUUCAUUUUAAAAUAAACCAAGAUAACUUUCUAAACAAACAUGAACCAAGCCACCAGUUUUACUGCCCUUACACCAGACGGGACUUACUACUGUGCAUAAAUGAACAAGUUUGUUUAUUAGUGGUAUGAUGCAGUUUAAAAUGAUUUUAAAAUCUUUUUAUGCAAAUGAUGUUUCUUUCCCGAAACUCAAAUGGCUUUGAUACCAACUAUGAGACUAGACUAACAAGUUUCUGGUGUGCAGGAUCCUCAGACGAGGCAAGCACAGAGCAUACGCUUAUUAAAUCUUAAACAAGAAUAAAUUUAUUAAUGAAUGAACAAAUAUACAAACUUUGAAAUAAAAACUUUCAACAAAAGAAAGCUUUAAGCUUUAAACAAAAGAAAUAUAACUUACAAGAGGAAUUGAAUACAAGAGGAAGGUGAUUUUCUCACUAUCACUCUCACACUCUCUCUUUUCUCACUUUAUUUCUAAUGGAAUGACUUGAAGAACACAAGAGUCUCUUCUUAUAUAUAUAUAUAUAUAUAUAUAUAUAUAUAUAUAUAUAUAUAUAUAUAUAUAUAUAUAUAUGCCUAUCAUUUUAACAAAAAUAUUAAAUUGCUUAGCGAUAGAAUGACUUAUUUCGAGUAGCGAGUACCCUUUAGUUGUAUUCACCAAUAUAUUUGAGUUCGGUAACCAGUAUUCACGUGUUCAAAUCCGAACCCGACACGAAUAGUAAAUUAAAUUUCAAAUUCGUUUACUGUUAUUCAAAUUUUAUUCUAAUAGGGUUCGGUAGGGUCGAGUACCCGGAAAUACCCGUCCGACUAUCAUUCCCAGUGUUAUUCAGAAUUACAUAAUUUUAAAUAAAAUUUUUAGUUUAUUUUUCUUAAAAUUUAUAUACAAUAUUUUUAUUUUUAUUUUAUUAGUACAAUAUUCUUUUAGAUUUAUUCUAAAAAAAUAACACAAUAUAUAUAAUAUAAAAUUUUAAUAGGAAAAAUUUAAAAAUAAAAAUUUAUAUUUAAAUUUUACUACAUAAUAAGAUAAUAUAAAUUUUUAUAUCGUAUUAAUUAAUUAAAAGAAAUUAUUACUAGUAAAAAUUAUCCAACAAACAUCAUUAAUAUUAUAUUAACACUGCAUAAUCAUAAGUUGGAUAUCAAUAAUAAAAUAUUUCUUUAAUAAAAUUUAGCUCUUUUUCUUUUUUGUGUUUAUACGUGAUAUUUAGUUUGCUAAUAAAAUUAUUUUAUAAUAUUUUUAUAUUUUAAUAUUAUGUAAAUAAAUCGUUAACAGUUAUGGUGAUCGAUAAUAUAGUGUUUGAAUUUAUUAAAAAGAUUAACAAAUAUUAUAUUAAUUAAUUAAAAGACAUAUUAUUAAUAAAUAUUUAAUAAAUAUAAUUAAUGUAAUACUAAUAUUAUAUAAUUACUUACUUUAUUUCAUACUAACUGUCUUUUUCAAAAUAAAAGAAUUCUAAUUAUUUGUCAAUUUUAUAUAUCCAAUAAAAUAUUAAUUUUCUUUGUUUUAUUUUAUUUUUAUAUUUAAAAAGGUAUAAAAAAUUUUACAAUAUUUAUAAAAAAAUAAUUUAGCUAGUUCUUUUUCUAAAAUGAAGCUUAUUAAAUAUUUUUUUAAUAUGAAUAAACUUUUAAAGAACAACUUUUAGUAUGAAAUGGGUGAAGUAUAAGUUAAUAAUAUUCAUAGGUUGGUAUUAAUAAUAAUAUGUUGCCAAUAAGUGAAAUAAGCAAUAAAACUAAUAAAACUUUAAUAAUUUUAAUUUUUUAUUAUAUUUUAUUUCACAUACACAUACAUAAAUUUAUACAUAUAAAUAUUUAUUUUAACAAAAAUCUUUAAAUGGUUUAGUGAUGGAAUCACUUUUUUCUUUUAUAAAAGGUCUAUAGUUUAAAUACAUGGAGAAUAAAAUGAUAAAUAAUAAGGUUGAAUGAAUACAUAUUUCCACACUAUACUUUUUAUAUUUGAUCUCUUAUAACUUUUAUUUUAACUAAUAGCACAUCUAUACUUUCAUUUUUAAUAGAUUUCACUCCUAAUAUCAUUUACAAAAACAUGUAUUAAUCAUAGAUGGACAAACUUUAACGAGCUAGAUAAAUGAGUUGAACAAAUAACACGCGUAUAUUAAUAAAAAGUAAAAAAUAAAUAACAUCAAAGGAAAACUCAAAUCCUUAAAUCAGACAUAUUAAAAUUGAAAUCUCUAAUUAUCUUACAAAUAAAAAAAAAACUUUGAAUUCCUCAAUUAUUUAACCAAUUACUUUAGGAAUAUUUUAAUGAUUUGUUUAAUCCUUUAAGGUUAUAUGGUCUCCUAUACCGUGAUUCUGAAAUUGUAUAGUAUUUAUUGUCUAUAAUGCUGGACAAGUUGUUAAGAAUCAAAGAGAGAGAGCAUUGGUAAUUUAGGGUUUAAAAAAGAAAAUCUUUUUUAAAUCAAAAGAAAAAAGAGUUAGGUGUCCACAUCAACUAAGUUAGUUCAUCCAUUAGAUAUCGUUUAUAACCAUGCUAUAUUUCAUAUUGGCAGAAUAGCACGAUUGAAUUAAAGUUGGAGAGUGAAAUUGAUUAAAAAUAAAAAUAUAGAUGUGUUAUUGGUUAAAAUAAAAGUCUAAGAGUGUUAGAAGUAAAAUGUGAAAAGUACAAAGGUGAAAUUAUGUAUGCGGCCUGAAUAAUAAUGUUAUAAUGGCUAUAAGAGGGUAGAGUAACUAUAUAUACCCUAUACCCGUAUCUGUUUACAUAAUCGGGUGGUGGAUAUCUGAGGGUUCAAAUCCAAAUCCAACUCAAAACCAACAUAGGUAUUAAAAUGGGUUCUUACAUAACUACCUCCUUUUAUAACAAUAAUUGCAUGUUUAUCUAAAAAAUGUUUGCAAAAAUACACUUUUAUGGAAAAAUAUAUUAACAAAAGUACACUAAAGUCAAAUAUCAUAAAAAUCAAUUAAAUAUCAAUCACACCUUUAGAAACAAACACACAUCAACUAAAAUCAACAAAAUCAUUCAAUUAUAAAAAAAUAUUAAAUAAAUAAAUAAAUAAAAAUCAACGAACAAAAUAAAAAUCUAAACAAAUAUAGAUUAAACAAUAAAUAAAAAAUCAGCCAAACAUUAACAAUACAUAAAUCAUACCCAUCUUAACAUCAACCAGACGUUAACAAAAAAAUCAUUAAACUAUAAUAUUUUAAAUUCUAAAUUUUAUUUAAUGAUAAUUUAAUAUUUAUUUAUUGAGAAUUUAUUUAGGUGUUGAUAAAUAUUUUAAUUUAAGGAUUCAAGUGUUGUAAAUUAAAAUUUUAUUUUUCAUUUUAUGUAUUUAAAUACCAAAGUUUGAGAAAUGAUGAUUUUGUCAUUGAAAUUAUAAAUUAUAUAUAUAUAUAUAUAUAUAUUGAAAGGAAGAACUUAAUAGGAAUUUGAACUGUAGCCAAAUAACUGUUCCAGCCCUUCUCUCACUAAUACGUUCUAUCUUUGCUGCCACCUCCAUAGUUUGCUGUCCAAUAUCCUAACAGUCUUAUCUUACUGAUAAACUUCCUUUCCAUACCAGUCUUCACCUGCUCCGUGAGUCUCCAUCGUCAGUUGACGUCGAUUCUUGCUAGAAUUGACAAUUCGAAGAGAGAGAAACUAUCUCCUCUAGCGGCCGUCGUCAGCAGCACCAUCUCUCAAUGCCUUUAACUCAAUCCAACACCACAAAUAAAUUUCUCGCCCCCUAAAAAACACUUGUGCUAUGAAUUUCAGCUUUAGACAUCACCAUUUCACUGUUAAUGAUAGAUUAGAGUAAAUAAGGAGCUUCAAUUUGAGUGUUUCUGAAAAACAAGUAAAAAAAAGUAUAAAAAAAGAGCAAAAAUGUAAUAAAUUAAAAAAAUUGAGGUAUUUUAGCAAAUAUUUUAAAAAUGACAUAUGGAGUGUAAAUUCCUCUGUUAAAAUUCAAUCCAAAAUCCGUAUGAUCACCUGAACUCGACCAUUAGAGUUCAGUUAUAUCGAGUAUCAAAAAGUACCUGUCAAUUUGUCAUCUCUAAUAAGAAACACCGAUUUAUGACUAUUGACCAACUUUCUUUUAUAGAAAUAAUUUUAUUUAAUUGUUUUAAUUCUUUUUCAGCGUUGUAUAGAGUUGCCAUAGAAAUCGAAUAAAAGCUUUUGCUUAAUUGUAUUUAGGAUUGAAGUCUACAAUUUAAUAACAACUAUUAUAUUAUAUUCAUAAGUUUUGUUUUGAUAAGAGAAUUUGCUUAUGGUUGCUUAGCUUAGUUGCCAAUUGAAGGACAUCAUGAUGAGAUGAGAAGAUAAAGUUUUUAUAAAUAUUAAUAAAUUAAAUUAAUGUUUUAGUUCCUUGAUUAAGAAACAAAGCUAAAAACAAGUAACAGAUAAGAGGUUUUUGUUUUUCUCCUUUUUCACAUCCGUUCCGGGUCAUCAAAUUAGAGUUAGAUGUCUUUGUUUUUUUUACCCUGUCAAAACUUUCUUCAUAUCCAAAUUUAAAACCAAAAAUUUCCUUCACUUCUACCUCUUUCACCUCUCUUUCUCUUUACUCAACAAUACCCAAACUUAUUCUCUAAUCCAAAAGAGAGGCUAUUAAUUUGGUGUCACAAAUACUAUUACCUACAGUAUCAAGUAAAACAGAUAAUAGAACGUAAGUUUUUUCUUUUAAAUAUUAACAUUGCAUGAGAUAAAUUCUAUUUAUAUAUGUAAUAUUAUUUAAAAUUAUCAAAAAUCUAAAUUUGAUUAAUUACAAAGUGCUUUUUUAUUUUUAUUUUUUUCUAUUUCAACUUUUUUUGUUUAAUUUAUAAAUAUUAUAUAUUUUAAUCGAUUUAAGUCUAUUAGCAUAUUUACUUUUUAUUUUAUUAUUGUCUCUAAGCAAUAAUAGAAAAAUAAGAUCUUAAUUUAAUCCUUAAUUACAUAUCAUAAAAAAGACUUAGUUGUAACACCCGGAAUUUUUAUAUAUUUAAUAAUGAGUUUUUAUUUAAGUUAAUUUUAGCCUCAUUAUUAUUGGGUUUAAUUUAAAAUGAUUAUAUUUUGGUUAUUCAAAUUUUUCCAAAUGCAUAUUUAUAUAAGUAAAAUUAUAUAUUGGAAAAUUAUGAUAGAAAUUAUAAAGGAUGUUUUUAUAAAAGAAUUUUGGGAAAAUUGGUAUUAUAAUUGAUUAGUAGUAUUAAAUUUUGAGUUGGAAAUUGAUUAUUUAAUUUAAUUGUGUGUAGGAUUUAAUUGGAGGAUUAUUUUGGAAUAAGGAUUAAAAGUAUAAUGUUAUUUUUAUGGGGUUUCAAUGGAAAUUUGUGAGUUUGGUAUUUUCGUAAAUAAAUAUGUCGGUCAGGGGUAUUUUUGUAAUUGUGUAUUUUCAAUAAUUCGGUUUUGGCCCAAAUUAAAUAGUUAAGGGCUUAAUUGAAAGGCUAAAAAGAAGUUUGGGGGUCAAAUUUAAAUUCUGCAGGAUGAAAUUGUAAGUAAUUAAGGAAGUUGAGGGACCAAAUUGUAAUAAGGAAAAGUUCGGGGGCCUAAUGUCGAUAUUGAAAGAAAAAGAAGUCGGGGAAGAAGAAAGGAGGAGAGAGAGAGAGAGUGCGGCGUCGGGAAGAGAGAGAAGGGGAAGUUGCAGGCGUCGGCGGCGACCGUCGAAGGCGUGGAGCGUUGGCCGACGGAGCGGCGUGCGCUGGCGAGCGCAGCGGCGACGGCAGCAGCAGCUCCAGCGGCGGCGGGAAUCGCGCGUGUGGCAGCGGCUUCCAGGCGUGUUUCCGGCCGUUUCCGGCGUUGUUGGCGGCCGAGUUGGGUGGCGAUCGGCUCCUCUCGGCGAGAGCUUUCUUUUGGUAGCAGCGGCGACGCCUGUGGUGGCCGGAGACGGAAGAUCUGGUGGAGAGAGAAAAUGGUGGCAGCCGGCGUGUUUGGGCUUUUCCGGCCAGCUCCGGCGGAGGAUGGAUGAUCGAAGGAUGUAUCCCGACUCUCCUCUGCUCAAGCUUCGCGAUGGCACUGGUUUCGUGGCGAUCGGGCUUCGUUUGUGAAUCGACGGUCGAGAUCGUCCACAAAUUUCUCCGGAUGGUCGGGUGUCAGAUCGGAAAAUCGAAAGCGGGGAUCGUCAUCAGCGCGUCGUUGUGAGUCCGAUGGUGUGUUCGGAUCGUCGAUCGGACUCCGGCGGCUAGAGGCGAGUCGACCGAGCGAUCGAGCGUCUCGGUAAUUUUCUUUGGCCUGUUAAUUUUAGAAAUUCUUGGUUUAAUUGUGUCUAUUGGGUUAUAUUGAGUAUUUGAUGAUUUUGUGAGUCAUAAAUAAUUGUCUGUCAGUUUGCCUGCCUCGUAUUUUGUGCUGUGUGGCGGAGUCGGGAAAUAGUGAAAUUUGGGGACCCGACUCCUUUUGUUUAAAUUGUUGGUUAUUUGAAGUAUUUUUCUGGCAGGUCCUGGACCCGUUUUUACGGGGGGUAAUGUUCGUGUUGUAGGGGAGGUUCUGCCGAAUUUUCGGUAGUUCCCGAGUCGAGAUUCUUAGACAGUCAGUCCUAGGAGUCUAGACCUAGGAUUAAUGAUCGAUUGUCUCAGCGUAUUGAUAAAUUAUUUUUCGUGAUUAGAUGAUCUGUCUGUUCGGCUCGCUCCUACCGAGGCACCUAAGCUGAGCUAGGAGGUCGCCCAAUUCUGUGAGUUAAAGUCAUAUAUCGUUUACGCACGUGUCAUGCAUAAAAUUUGAUUUGCUACUGUGAAUAUUUAUUUGCAAUUUCAAUUUUUCAUUCAAUUAUUAUUAUUAUCGUUUGAAUGAUGCUUUUAAUUACUAUUUAAAUAUGUUUUUCCUUUAUUACCAAUUUUAAUAUUGCAUGAUGACUCAGGAUGGGACGGCAGUAGAACAUAGGAGUUGGAUGAGUGUCCAAUAUAAUAUGAGAGAGAUAAGAAAAGGGUAAAGAGGUAAAAAUUUUGAGAAAGAAAGAUUAGGACCUGCCCUGGUCGAGCAUCGCUCUAUGGGCUUAGUAGAGUGUGGUUGCCGGAGUAAAGGUCCCUGGUCGAGCAUUGCUCUCGGGGCGCCGGCUUAUUUGGAAAUUUAAGUGACCAGACUGGAGGUAAGGUCCCUGGUCGAGCAUUGCUCUCGGGGCGCCAGUCUUAUUGGAUUAAGAGAGCCGAAUGGCUACUAGAUUUCUUAUUUGGAUAUUUAAGUGACCAGACUGGAAGUAAGGUCCCUGGUCGAGCUUUGCUCUCGGGGCGCCAGUCUUAUUGGAUAAGAGAGCCAAAAGGCUAAGGCUGAGAGUUAAGUGACCGGACUGGAGGUAAGGUCCCUGGUCGAGCUUUGCUCUCUGGGCGCCAGUCCUGUUGGAAUGAGAGGUUUGAGAUGAUAGAGUUGAGGUUAGUUGAGACAUGAGUGUUGAAAUAAUCGAGAUUUUAGAGUUGGGAUUAGAGUUCUACUGAAGUACUCUGUCCCGUUGCAUGUGGAAUAAAUUUUGUUUAAGCAUGGCAUGACACAUAUGUUUUAACAUGACACGUAUGGUUCGCGUGAUUUAUUAAUUAUUUUAAAAUUAAAUGAAUGUGACAUUGAGAUAUUUGAAACUGUUUUAGAUAUAUGAUUUUAACUCACUCUCGAGACUGACAGUCUCCAUUUAUGUUUUUUUCAGAUUCGUGACUGUUAGUUCUCCCGCGACUCUUAUUCAGUAACCCGACUCCUUCAUCAUCGGGUGAAGUAUUUGAUUUGGUAUGUAAAAUGGUAAAUCUUAGAUUCUCCGCAGUAGUAAUAGUAAAUGUAUCAGUUGUAAAUUUUUCUGAGCUUCGGGUCUCGCCUAGUUUUUCUGGCAGACCGAAGUAUUUAUGUAGAAUGUGGC
rnacentral:lncRNA from 1 species